AAGAAGAACUUGAUAGUUCUUCUUAAGAAAGAAACCUAUGAUUUAUACAUAAAUGCUUUCAUAGAGGAGAGUAAGAGCCAUGAGAUACCAUAUGACUCGACUAAAAUGCUAGAUAAAAAAGUCCACAGUAUUUUGAGAAAUAAUAAACUCUCCCCUGUUUUAAGAACAGCUUAUGUUAGAUCACCUGCACUGCCAAGGCUAUUUGCAUUCAUCAAACAGCAUAAACACCCAAUUGAGGCAAGACCAGUUGUAGAGAGAACCUUCGCACCUACUUACCAGUUAGAGAAAAAGCUAGCUAAAUGGUGUUUAAGUAAGAUGCAGAAUUAUGAGUUUACCACCAUAUCCCCG
rnacentral:lncRNA from 1 species